AAGACAUUUAGUGACGUACAGGACAGUAAAACACACACGCUAUCAAUGACAUGCAGCUUUUCUCAUAGACGGGGGAGGUUACUAUGUGAAGGAAUGUGUUAGGAUUGGAAGUUUUCUCUUUAUGUUUCUUUUGAGAUGGUAUGGCCUCUGAAGACCCCCAAGACCAACUGGAUGAGGCUAUUAAAAAGGCAGAACGCCUUGCCGAGGAGCUCAACCAAGAAAAGGACCCACAAGCCCAACUGGACGAGGCCAUUAACGAGGCAAAAAGACUGGCUGAGGAGCUCAACCCAGAACGGGAAAAUAAGAAGAAAAAGACAAACAAGCCUCCAGGGAUUAGGUUCAGAUGGAGACAAAGGGAUGAGAGAGGACAGAUUGAUCCUCAAACCAGGAAGGCAACUACAUCCACUUCUGUUGCUCCAAGGGCCAGUACAUCAAGAGCCAGACUAGUGCAACCUUCUGGACCAGUCACUGAGGAGGAAGAAUCAGAGACAAGGACCAGUGGAUUGGAAUCCACUCCAGUUUUAAACAUUGAUGAAGAAAUAGGUCACUACAAUGUCACAGUGCCUGUGCUUACCUGCACAACUUGUCUUAGCACCUGGACAGCAAACUUGGCAGAUCUGAUAAAGAAUGGGUACUGGCCUGCCACUGUCAACUGUGACACCAUAUACCAGGUAGAUGUGUUCAGCUCUUUUGAGGAGCUGGAAGUGUCAGCCCCAGGAAUGUCCCGUCUGGCGUUUAUGUGGAUUUUGGAGCAGCGAACAGACUCCUUUGGCAGGAACGGAAUGAUCUGUGGGGACACUUUUCAAAAAAGCUUCGAGUGGACGUACUGCCGCUCUGAAAUUGAUUAGGUCUGUGAUAUACAGGACUUUGACUGCCCAGCCUGUUCACCCAGCAUGCUUGCAGUGUCAGUGGACGGGAACAAGAAGCUGUAUCGAUUCAAAAAAGGGUUAUGGAAAAGGAGUAUGUGGAGCAUCCCAGUGGACAGCAGCUAAAGAGUUCAAGGAAAACAAACGACAAACUUGAUGAAGAGGGACUCGAAGUAGCCGUCUCUCGCCAUGGAAUACUUCUAAGGAGCCUCAACAUGAUGCGUGGAGAGAUAUUUGCAUAUCCACUGUUCUUGCAGAAGGAAUUGUCUGGCAGCAGGAACAUACAAUUCAUGUGUAUGUGAUCUGCAAAUUUUGGCCAUACCUGACCAAAGUUGCCCUUCAUUGUCCAGAGCUCGCCACUCUUCUAGACAUGAAGCCACUUUCUGUCAUGCAUACAAAGGCACAUCGUUUGAAAUGCGAGGUAAGUUUUUCUUUAUUAAACUGUUGAAAGAGAAUUUCCAGCUUCAGUCCUUUACAAGGCUUCCCAUUUAGAUGUUUGUUAUUCACAUAAUUGCAAUAUCAAGUCUAUAUUUAAAAAAAAAAAUGUAAAUUAAGAUUAAGUGGGGAGGACGGAAUCAGGAAGGAGCUGGCACAACUCUGGGGGAGGAAGAGGAACAAGGGAACAGCUUCUUGUCGAGGGCUGCAAUCUGUUCCAAGCAAAUGUCCAAAGGAGGUAAACAUUUUGUUUAAGGUUGUUCUAUUCAGCUAUGUUAAUACUUAUCUGGAAUAAGGAGUUCUAUUUGGCAUUUCUAGCAAGAACAGACAUGCUAACCAUCCAGGCCAUGGGGUGGAACAGAAGGAAAAACAACCUGCACAGAGUAUUGUCCAGAAGAUACUUGAAGGUGUAUUGUGUGGAUCAAUACAUUUAUUUUAGAAGUAUUAUAUCUAUGGAUUUAAUUUAUUUAAAAACAAUUAGUUAUUCUGUUUAGUUUUUGUCAUAAUUCUCAGACAACAGCAAAAAUCCAGGAGACCCAGACUCUCAAAGUUUAAGAGUGAUUUGGGUGUUAGGCGAUGAGACUCUGUACAACAGAAGUUCAGCAAUGAGAUAAUACAGGUAAAUUAAUACAAAAUAUAAAUAAUCCUAAAUGUAACUCUCCUGGACUGUCACCUUGACGUAGUGGAGAGGCUUGUGUACUCCAAUGACUCUGAGAGCUAACCCUCAGAGGGUGUAUUCCACCGACACGUGCAAUCAAGCCGGACGGGUAGGAGGCAGACUAAACAUUCCCUGGUUAUCCAGGUUGGGGCUCAUUCACCGCCCACAUAGUCAUUUGUUACAGAAACCUUCACAGGCCCUAUGUUCCUCCAGGAAGUGAGUGCAUCUUUUCAGCGUUGGAGAUACGUUGUUAAUUUAUAGAUGUACUGUAUUUCAGAGGAUACAAAUGAGAACAUGGGACGGUCCCCAGGUACUACAGAGAACAAUUUAAGUCCUGUUUCUUAGCAUCAAACAAAGGAAACAGAACCUCUAUUUCCUGAAUAUUGAAUUGCACGCACUUCAUUUCUCGUUAAUUUCAAAGCCAUGCAAUGUAGCAAAUAAUUCCAUUCUCCUUUUGUUUUGAUGAGAUGGAUGUUUUGUUAUCCGUGUUUGUUCAGUUGCGUAAACACAGACAGCACUUAUGAAUUUACAGCUGACCUACUCACAAAGAAAAUAGCCUUUGACCGGGUGAUGCUCCUGAGACGGCUGAAGGAGGAAGAGUUAAUUGUCCUAAAGGAAGUCUAGUAGCACUGGGAAAGCCUAAAGAGGGAAUCUGAGAAUGUGCAAGACCUUGCUUCACAUGUGGCACUUGACCUAAGCAGGCAAAGUAGGGGAACGUUCAUUAAUAUGUACAAUUGAUGUUGGCACCUUGUAAAUGCUAUUGUACUUAAGGAAUACGUCAUUGUAUUUACCCUACACAUUACGAUUGUUGGUGUUAGGCUGGCAAUUGAAUCAGUCGGAAGCUGGGAGCAGAGGUCUCUUCUCCAUGCUUCAGAGGAGAGUCAGCAGCCUCAGAAGACACCAGGACUUUGUCAAACUGAUAUACAGCAAAGCUAUGGGCCAAGACACCUCCCUCCUAGAAAAUAACUUCAUAGAUGACCUCCUGGAAGAGGACCUAGAUGACAUCUAUGACAGCAUCCACUAUCACAGACUGAAGGUGUUCGUUUGGGUGGGUGCAGUUUUGUACGGGGUAAAAAGUGACUUUGUUUUGCAUAUGUGCUUUAUCUGCCUUCCUAAGGAAAAAAAAGGUUGAACAUUUUAUGGAAAAUAAACUUUUAUGUUUAUUCCUUGUUGACAAUGUGAUCAUGUGGCAGAUUUGAGAAGGGCGCUCGUCUGUUACUGCUUUUGCCCGGUUACAUGACCAGGUCCGAUGCACCCCUUUAAAAUGGCCAAUCUGCAGUUGCUACAUCCACUUUUGGAUUCUUUAAGAAUAUAAAUGUAUAAAUGCCUUAUGAAUAUAGUUCACCUGCCGUACCCCGUCAGAUCCCAAAAUAUUUUUUUUUCUACUCGAAUGUUUGACUUUGUUUACAAUGUAAACAUACGAGCGUGUGUCAAAACUCAUUCCACGGGUGAGCAGAGUGUCUGCGCUCCUCCCAUAAUUGAUUAAUUAAGGUCACUAAUUAGUAAGAAACUCCCCUCACCUGGUUGGUUAGGUCUUAAUUGAAAGGGAAAAACAAAAACCAGCAGACACUAGGCUCUCCAUGGAAUGAGAUUGACACCACUGGACUAUAGCCGCGAAACAUGGUUUAAACUAUGGUUACAUUUCUCCAUCCCCAUCCCUCUGCUUUUUACAGAACCACUGGUGGGGAGAACGAUUUAUUGUUUCACCUGGUGAUUUCCGAUUUAAACAUUGUUAAACUGUAAUGUACUGUGCUUGUUAGUUUGUAUUAGUUUAGUUUUAAAAAAUGAAAAGGUUAUCCUUGUCUUCAAGUAAUCGUUUGCAUCCUGAUGGAGCUACAUUAGUCAUGGGCUUUUAAGUCAACGAUUCCUUAUGUAUGUAUGUAUGUAUGUAUGUAUGUAUGUAUGAGGAAAUGUACAAAUGCUUAACUAGUACUGAGUACUUUGACCAGUUACUUAUUUACUCUCAAGGAGCUUUACUUGUACUUGAGUACAAGAACUGACUCCCAUCAGCUGCAGAUGAAACCGGUUAGUUGAAAAAUGUUGCCUAGAAUCUACGGGCACUCGCAAUGAAUCAUCAAAAGUAUGGACACAGAAUGAUUGAAGUGAUCCAUAUAUAAUAUCUGUGUGGAGAAAAAUUGUUUUUAUAAAUUAAGGACCAUGACAAGAAAACCUGCCGAUGAAAAGCAGAAAGUUUCACUGGAACUUUGUCAAUAUUAUAAUUGCAAAACAACAUGAAGUUAAGGCCACCAAAAGUAGAGACAUGAUGAGGAAUAAAAUUCCAGAUAUAAGUGGGUCUUAGAAAUUGUUUUAUCCAAUUGAUCUUAAAAGUAUUAUUUGAAGUAGUCAUAUCCAGAAAAUUCAGUCCACCAUUCUCAUAAGUGUUCAUUCCAACAGUUUUCCUAAUGUAAUGGGUACGGUUUCUCCAAAGAAAGUUGAAAAGCAUCUGGUCUAUCUCCUUGCUUAUUUUACUGUCAAGAUAUAGAGCGCCAUAUGUUAGUCUAGAGAUUCCUAAUAACCAAGGCCGAAGGUAUCUCCCUUUUAAAAAUAAGUCCCUCUGUAGCCAUUGAUUUAGCUUCUUCUGGGGUCUUCUUUUACUGGAAUACCAUAAUAUGAAGGUUACACACAAUCUUUGACAGCUAUGAGUUCACAUUAAUGUUAAGAUAUAGACCAGACGCUUUAGAAAAGGAUUGUAUCACAUUGAUCGAUAUGGGAAUUUGGUUAGCGUCUUUCAGAUAGUGUAGAAUCUGCCAGCUGGCUUAUAAUAAUUUCUUUACCAGCUAUGGAAAUACCUUGUACAGGACUAUUAUUUAAAGAAUUUGCAAGAAGUUGGGUGAUUAAUAAAA
ensembl:lncRNA